CCCAGCCGGGCUGCAGAGGAGGCGGCCGAGAACGUCCCGCGCCCGAAGCGAAGCGCUCCAGAAGGGCGCGCCUUUGCCGGCUGCUGGGUUUCCUGCAGUCAUCCCCUGAAGCUGGAGCUCAUCCAUUCGUCUAGGCUGGCUAGACAGAGAACUUCAGGAAUCACCUGUGCCUGCUUCUCCAGUGCUGGGAUUUAUAAGCGUGUGCUGCAGCUCUUCCUCACCUGUCAGAUGGGUUUGGACUCUGAGCUCCGGCUCUCAUGUUUGGAAGAAGAUCGGCUUAAAGCCUGUCUGUGUGACAGACAUAGUCAAAACCAUCUAAUACUGGUCUUCACACGAAACAACAGGGUGUCUCCCAAUCUUGUGUGAGGAGGAAGAAUACAGGGAGUAUGCUUGUCCAUUCUUCUUCCUUAGAUUCCCAUCUGUGACUUGAUAAAUAUUUGAUGCCGUGGCCAGUCAACAUCCCUACAUUAGCGAAACUUCUGCCCAGGAGCAAAAACUGCACCGCUCUCAGCAGUGAGACCGGACUCCUGUGUUAAGUUCCUGCCUGACUUCCUUGUAAGCUGAUAUAAACUCCAUGUUCCUCAACUUCCUUUGGUCAAAGUGUUUAAUCACAGUUAUGGAAAGCAAACCAUAACAGCUCGAAUUCUCCUACUUAGGACUGUCCUUCCGUGGCAUUGGCAGAAGCACAAGCCACAACCGUCAUGACAUUUGUAGAAAGUCACCUUCUGCUUCCAGGACAAAAGGCAAGAAAGAAAAAGGAAGAAGGCAAGAGCAUUUGAGGUGGCCUGAACGGUGCGUGCUGAGGGCCACAGCUGCAUCAUGCAGUGGGCACCCACGCUCUUUAGUAAACUUGCCUUUUACUGUGAGUUUGCCAUGCUGGACUCUAAGAAGAUCGUUCAGAAGGGAGCCUCUUGUCCAGUCUAAAAACUGUCCCAAGAAUGAUAUAAAUUCCAACACCACCAAGAGGAUAACCCCUAGGUGGAGAGUAGAAAGGGACCCAACCCACAAGUACCUGAAUCAAUUAUGAUAAAGAAAUCAUGGUCUUUGUUUUCCUAUAAAAUUAUACUAACAUGCACACAUUAUUUUAUGUAUUUAUUAUUAUAUUUUUUCUAUCUCAAGGUUUCUCUGGGAAACCCU
rnacentral:sRNA from 1 species